AACGAACGCUGGCGGCAGGCUUAACACAUGCAAGUCGAGCGCCCCGCAAGGGGAGCGGCCGACGGGUGAGUAACGCGUGGGAACGUACCUUUUGGUUCGGAACAACUCCGGGAAACUGGAGCUAAUACCGGAUAAGCCCUAACGGGGAAAGAUUUAUCGGCGAAGGAUCGGCCCGCGUCUGAUUAGCUAGUGGGUGAGGUAACGGCUCACCAAGGCGACGAUCAGUAGCUGGUCUGAGAGGAUGAUCAGCCACACUGGGAAUGAGACACGGACCAGACUCCUACGGGAGGCAGCAGUGGGGAAUAUUGGACAAUGGGCGCAAGCCUGAUCCAGCCAUGCCGCGUGAGUGAUGAAGGCCUUAGGGUUGUAAAGCUCUUUUGUCCGGGAAGAUAAUGACUGUACCGGAAGAAUAAGCCCCGGCUAACUUCGUG
rnacentral:rRNA from 1 species